GUAUACUUAGCUUAGAAUACAGCCAUCAGUUGUUAGGGCAUGAGACUUCAUCUCAGGGUCGUGGGUUCAAGCCCCACAUUGGGCA